UUUAAAUUUAAAAGGAUUUUUUGUAGAUCUGAUCACUCUUGACUAUCUUAAUUUCUUUAUCUAUUGUUCAUAAUAGCGGUACGAUUCAGAUAUAUUUUUACAAAGUUAAUUAUAGUUCAAAGCAUGACACAAAUUAAAAACAUUUAAUUAAUACAGGAGCUGGAAUCAAGUCUGGAGCUAGAGGCGACACAACGCGCGCGGUUGGAGGGGCAGUUGGCGCGCUUACGAGACGCACACGAGGCACUUGCCGCGGAGCUGGCAGCGGCGCGCGCGCGGGACCACCUCGCCGCCGAGGAGGCGCGGAAACUCGCCCGUCAGCUGAGGGAGCUGAAGGAGGAGAACUCGUCGCUGAACGCGAAGCUGAGCGAGGCGUGCCGCGGCCGGAGCGCGGCGGAGGCGGCGGCGGCGGCGGCGGCGGGCGAGGCGGCGGCGGCGCGCGACGAGGCGCGCCUGGCCGCGCGCCGCGCCGCCGCCCUGCAGGAGGCCAUCGCCGGCGACCUGUCCAGCCCCGGCGACUCGCGCGACAGCGACAGUGAAAACGACAGCUACAGCUCAGACGAAUCUAUAGGAACAUUUUUAGCGAAUCAUAAGCUGAGCCCGUCGGUGCCGUCACGCAACAGCAUACAGCUGGACUCCCAAAAAUCUCACAGCCCCGAGGGCCGCCAGAGCCGCACCAGCGUCGGCUCGGGCUCGAAGCCGCUGAGCCCCACCAAGGAGUCGUUCGCAUAACAACCGGCCGCGGGCGGCUUGCUCGCCAGCGCAUUGCCGCUUCUCUGCACCGCGCUCUGCGCCAGGCAGCGCGCGCCCUCCACGCACCUCGUCAUCGAGUGAACGAGUAGUGCGUGACGAGAGACGUCACGGCACAUGACGUGCAACGCACGCCCUCCACGCACCUUGGCACAGAGUUCGUGACGAGUGACGUCAUAAUACAUAACCUGCAGCGCACGUCCUACACGCAACCCGUCACCGAGUUCGUGACGAGUGACCUCACAAUACUUGACGUGCAGCGAGCGUCCUCCACGCACCUCAUCAUUUAGGUAACACCUAAGCUGCUAGUUUGCCGAAAUUAUAUAGGCAAACAAGCGCGUCGUGGUGGGACGUGUGCCCUGUGACGUCACUUGACGAGUGUCGUGUGUGUACUAUAUUGACUAAUUAUGUGUAUAGUGUAUGUUGUGACUGACUAAUUAUGUACGAGAAUGUUUAUCAUCGGUUUUUACAGUUGAUUGUUAGUGUACCACUGACACUAGUGUCCCACUGAUCGUAAAAUCCUACUUCCCUUAAUGAAUUUUAUACCACCAUUUACGAAAAUAUUUAUCCAAUGUGCCAACUUCCAAUAAUACAAUUUAAAAUUACAAUGACGGUUAUUAAGCGACUGAUUACCUGGAUGUUACAAAAUGAAAUAGAUUCAAAUCUAAUUGUCUCAUUAAUAAGCUACAUAUACGAGUAAUAAAAUCGUUUGUAGAUGAAACUAAAUCAUAUUCGGAUUUGAUUAGAAUAUAAGAAAAUAAUAUACACUAUACUGUUAAAGAAAGUUUUGCUAAUAAAGGAUUUAUUGGCGAUAAUAUUUCUACGCAAUAUGAUAUAUUAUGAUACGUACAAUAUUUAUGAGGCUAUAACUUUACAUAAAUCAUUUAUAAUGUACCACUGGCUUAUGAUAUACUGUGAUUAUAGUAGUUUAUUUUCGCUGAAUCGCUAUUUUCUGACACAGCUUGUGUUCGCCAAGGCUAUCACAAACUAUAUUAAUGCGAAAAUGAAUAUGCAUUCCAGACUGUUAUAUCUCAUUAUACUCAGACUCGACACUUAAAGGUCUUCUUACUACACUUGCAUAUUUUAUACACGGCUUGACAUUAAUUUAUUUAUAUUAGAUUUUUAUAAGAAGUAAAAUUCGAUGCUUAGAGUAAUUGUGCUGUGGUUUCUAAGCAGCCAGUCAGUAUUUAGAUAAUAUAGACGGAAAGGUUUAAUGUUAAGUUGAUUGUUAUUUAGUUAAUUAAUAAUUGUAAAUAAGUAGAUUGCAUAUACAUUUUUUAUUAUUUAAUUUGUAAUAUUCGUGUGAUCAGACUGUUAUUAUAUGAUUUAUUUGUUACAAAUGAUUUGUUGCUUUAUAGUAGACGAACAAACAUAUCUGUUAGGUAAAUAGAUUUUUAUCCCCACAUUGACUGGUUGGUUCUAAAUGUAAUUUUUACUACCGUAGUGAAUCAGCGUGCAUAGACAAAUAUCACUUUUUUAUUGACAGUGUCAAUGACAAAAAUAAAAGAAGAGGCGUUACAAUAAAUAAUGUUGUAGCUAUAAUUUAUUAACCAAAAAAUCUUUAUGUUUUUAGUUUUGUUAUUUGAAAUUGUUGAUAAAAAGUGUUCUUAGUUAAGCCUGCUCUUAUAGUAAACCAUUUUAUUAACAUUGUAUUUACGUAUAUUACUUCUAAAUCAUUCUAUAUAUACCAUUUAGAUAUGUGUCUGUAACCGCAAGUAUAUAAUUAUCUUUAAUAAACUUAUGAGUAAUGUAUAAUAUGUCAUGAAAUGUUACUGCAUUCGAUAUUGGUUGUAAAAUGAAAUAUUUAAUAAAGUAACUUACAAUCUUUCCUAGA
rnacentral:misc_RNA from 1 species